rnacentral:rRNA from 1 species
GGCUCAGAUUGAACGCUGGCGGCAUGCCUUACACAUGCAAGUCGAACGGCAGCACGGGGCAACCUGGUGGCGAGUGGCGAACGGGUGAGUAAUGCAUCGGAACGUGCCAUUGAGUGGGGGAUAACGUAGCGAAAGUCGCGCUAAUACCGCAUAUUCUGUGAGCAGGAAAGCAGGGGACCGCAAGGCCUUGCGCUCUUUGAGCGGCCGAUGUCAGAUUAGCUAGUUGGUGAGGUAACGGCUUACCAAGGCGACGAUCUGUAGCGGGUCUGAGAGGAUGAUCCGCCACACUGGAACUGAGACACGGUCCAGACUCCUACGGGAGGCAGCAGUGGGGAAUUUUGGACAAUGGGCGCAAGCCUGAUCCAGCCAUGCCGCGUGAGUGAAGAAGGCCUUCGGGUUGUAAAGCUCUUUCGGCCGGGAAGAAAUCGCAUGGGUUAAUACCCUGUGUGGAUGACGGUACCGGAAUAAGAAGCACCGGCUAACUACGUG